rnacentral:lncRNA from 1 species
ACAAUUUCUCUCCCAUCUUUCAAUUUCUACACAACAUUGUGAAGAUGGUUAACCAUCUUCUAUUCUCCUCAACCUUUCACAAGUUAAACCAUGCCGAAAAAAAAGGGCUGAAGGUGAUGAUGGGAAUAGAAAUUUUAGCAUCGUUGUGAGAUGUUCAACAUCUAAGUUUGAUGCCCACUAUCUAAAAUGUUCAAUAUCUGAGUUUGAUUAUUCCUUCUUGCCUUCAUAAAUGUGUGAUUCGAGGAAUACCACCUCAUUUCAAUGCAGAUCCUCUUUAGAUGCACUACUGUAUUGCUAGAAACUUAAUUGAUAUAGGGGAAUUACCACUUUCCAAAAAGAAUAACAAAGUUUAGUUGUUUGGUGUUUGUUUAUUUUAUGUUUUAUUUGGUUGUUUGAAGACAUGUUUUGUAAAGAUUGCGAACCUUAUUUCUAUUGUUGUUUGUGAAC